AGAGUUUGAUCAUGGCUCAGGACAAACGCUGGCGGCGUGCGUAACACAUGCAAGUCGAACGGCGUCAUAGGCUUCGGUCUAGGGCGCAGUGGCGGACGGGUGAGUAACACGUGGAUAACCUGCCUUCGUGUGGGGGAUAGCCUUCAGAAAUGGGGGAUAAUACCGCAUAAGGUUCGUCGCGGAGGAGACUCCGGGACGAGGCAAAGCUCUUUUUGGUGAAAGCCGGGGGGUGGCGCGCGAAGAGGGGUCCGCGGCCGAUUAGCUAGUUGGUGGGGUAAGCGCCUACCAAGGCGACGAUCGGUAGCUGGUCUGAGAGGAUGGUCAGCCACACUGGGAUUGAGAACGGCCCAGACUCCUACGGGGGGCAGCAGUGAGGGAUCUUCGGCAAUGGGGGCAACCCUGACCGAGCAACGCCGCGUGCGGGAGGACGCCUUUCGGGGUGUAAACCGCUUUUCUGGGGGACGAGGCUAAUGAGUACGGACGGUACCCCAGGAAGAAGCCUCGGCUAACUACGUGCCAGCCGCCGCGGUAAUAC
rnacentral:rRNA from 1 species